UUUACCGUGAAAAAAUUAGAGUGUUCAAAGCAGGCAGAUCCAAUUUUCUGCCACCGAAUACAUUAGCAUGGGAUAAUGGAAUAGGACCCUGUCCUCCUAUUUUCAGUUGGUUUUGGCAGCGCGAGGACUAGGGUAAUGAUUAAUAGGGAUAGUUGGGGGCAUUAAUAUUUAAUUGUCAGAGGUGAAAUUCUUGGAUUUAUGAAAGAUUAACUUCUGCGAAAGCAUCUGCCAAGGAUGUUUUCAUUAAUCAAGAACGAAAGUUAGGGGAUCGAAGACGAUCAGAUACCGUCGUAGUCUUAACCAUAAACGAUGCCGACCAGCGAUUAGGAGACGUUGAAUACAAAACACCACCAUCGGCGCGGUCGUCCUUGGCGUCUCGGUCCUUCACGGGGCCGGGGCGCGGGGGCGGCUUAGCCCGGUGGCACCGGUGAAUGACUCCCCUA
rnacentral:rRNA from 1 species